AGAGUUUGAUCCUGGCUCAGGAUGAACGCUGGCGGCGUGCUUGAUCAAUGCGAGUCGUGCGCGUGCUCCCGUGCUUGCAUGGGAUGCCACGAGCGGCGUGCGGGUGCGUAUCACGUAGAUUACCUACCCUCGUGUGGGGAAUAACCUGGGGAAACUCGGGCUAAUACCGCAUAAUGCCUCCAGUCUUCCCGACUGGCGGUGAAAGCCUCACGGCGCGCAAGGAGGGGUCUGCGGUCUAUCAGCUCGUUGGUGAGGUAACGGCUCACCAAGACUUUGACGGAUAGCCGGUCUGAGAGGAUGGUCGGCCACACUGGGACUUAAACAUGGUCCAGAGCCCUACGGGGUUUAGCAUGAAGGAAUCUUGCGCAAUGGGCGAAAGCCUGACGCAGCGACGCCGCGUGGAGGAUGACGCCGUUCGCGGUGUAAACUCCUUUUCUCGGGGAAGAAGUAAGACGGUACCCAAGGAAUAAGCCCCGGCUAACUCCGUGCCAGCAGCCGCGGUAAUACGGAGGGGGCAAGCGUUAUCCGGAUUUACUGGGCGUAAA
rnacentral:rRNA from 1 species